CUUGCUUCUUUGCUGACGACCGGCGCACGGGUGCGUAACGCGUAUACAAUCUACCUUGUACUGGGGGAUAGCCUUUAGAAAUGAAGAUUAAUACCCCAUAGUAUGUUAAGUUCGCAUGGACCUAAUAUUAAAGGUUACGGUACAAGAUGAGUAUGCGUCCUAUUAGCUAGUUGGUAUGGUAACGGCAUACCAAGGCAACGAUAGGUAGGGGCCCUGAGAGGGGGAUCCCCCACACUGGUACUGAGACACGGACCAGACUCCUACGGGAGGCAGCAGUGAGGAAUAUUGGACAAUGGAGGCAACUCUGAUCCAGCCAUGCCGCGUGCAGGAAGACUGCCCUAUGGGUUGUAAACUGCUUUUAUACAGGAAGAAACAUCGCUACGUGUAGCGACUUGACGGUACUGUAAGAAUAAGGAUCGGCUAACUCCGUGCCAGCAGCCGCGGUAAUACGGAGGAUCCAAGCGUUAUCCGGAAUCA
rnacentral:rRNA from 1 species